ensembl:lncRNA
GGGAGACACGUUUGUAGGGGGGGGCACGCUCGACAACGAGAGUUGGUUUUUAUUGAACGCUCGACAACGAGAGUUGGUUUUUAUUGAACGAGACUUCAACACGGAACAGCUGCACGAAACGAUGGUCACGUCACUCUCGGUGACGGUGUCGACAAAUGUUAAGCUUGCUGGUAGUUCUACCAUGAGGACUCAAAAUCACGCGCGGCUGGCCGUCAAUCACAAUCACCAGCUACCAAUCACCUGCCUACACCUGCUCUAUAAAGAGUAGUCUAACAUGUUUUUGCUGCUCAGGUCUUCGUUCGACGCAUGCUGCUGCUUUACUGUGCUUCUGAUUAUCUCGCAUAUCUUGUCGCUUAGUUGCUACGUCGGUUAAUACACACCAAGAGGUCAUAACUUUGGAUUCGUGCUGGUCGGCCUACUACUUCUGGUCCGGGCAAGUGAGCGCAGAAAGCCGUUCAUUUCGGUCCCCGGUAUUCUCAACAACACCACCAAGAAGUUCCCAACACGGACAUCCGCCUGGUUCUACAAACCCUCGCCGAGUUGGUGCAAAGCAUUUGGCGCCAGGAUGGACGCCGUCGAAACACCAUGCGGAACUCCCGGACGGGUCCAGGCCCCCAACCCGCUGUCGUCAGUCGCCACGGCGCCUUUCUACUUCCAGCAACCAUCAGGCUCGGCUUCCUCCGCCUUCACAGGCUACGCACCUGGUCUUCGUUCGACGCACCUCCAUCCACCCCACCACCACCAGGUCGGCCUCAGUCUACUUGUCCAGGGGAAGGCUCCGCCCCUGCUAGUCCUGGCAGGAUACGCCGAGUCCGCACGUCACCCUGGAUCAGUGACGGGGCUCAUGCCAAAGAUUUACCAUGCAAAAUAUUCCCAUGUCGUUAUUUAAAUAAAUCCUGUUCAUACUUAUCGGUGAUCGAGUCUUUAUGGGAGAACAAUGAAC